ACUGAAACAACAGUUCCCAUAUAAUCACUGAAGUUAAGCAAUGUUGAGCCUGGUCAGCACCUAGAUGUGCAACCACUUGGCAAUACCAGGUGCUGUAAG